rnacentral:rRNA from 1 species
AUUGAACGCUGGCGGCAUGCUUUACACAUGCAAGUCGAACGGAAACAGGCCGCAUGGUGCUGAUGCGUGGGGAACGGGCGAGUAAUUCAUAGGAACGUGCCCAGUCGUGGGGGAUAACUACACUUCAGAGUAGUUAAUCUAGUAUCCGAUAUAUGGAUCAACGCGGGGGACCGUAGGGCCUCGUGCGGUUGGUGCGGCCGAGGUCGGAUGCGGUUGUUGGUGGGGUUAGGGCACACCAUGCCCAGGAGCUGUAGCUGGACUGUGAGGACGACCGUCCACACGGGGACUGAACCACGCCCCAUACGCCUACGGGAGGGAGCAGUGGCGUAUUGUGGGCAAUGGUCGCAAGCCUGGUCCAGCAAUGCCGCGUGCAGUAAAAAGACCUUCGGUUUGUAAACUCCUUUUGUGCGGUACGAAACGGUUCUGGUUAAUACCCAGGGCUAAUGACGGUACCGUAAAAAGAAGCACCGGCUAACUACGUG